UGGGGAAUUUUCCGCAAUGGGCGAAAUCCUGACGGAGCAAUACCGCGUGAGGGAUGAAGGCCUUUGGGUUGUAAACCUCUUUUUUCAAGGAGGAAGUUCUGACGUGUACUUGAAGAAUAAGCAUCGGCUAACUCCGUCCCAGCAGCCGCGGUAAGACGGAGGAUGCAAGUGUUAUCCAGAAUUAUUGGGCGUAAAGCGUCUGUAGGUUGCUUAACAAGUCUGUUGUUAAAGGUUAAAGCUUAACUUUAAAACCGCAGCAGAAACUGUUAGGCUUGAGUACGGUAGAAGUAGAGGGAAUUUCCUGUGGAGCGGUGAAAUGCGUAGAUAUGGGAAGGAACACCAAUGGCGAAAGCACUCUACUAGGCUUUUACUGACACUCAGAGACGAAAGCUAGGGUAGCAAAUGGGAUUAGAUACCCCAGUAGUCCUAGCCGUAAACGAUGGAUACUAAAC
rnacentral:rRNA from 1 species